ACUCAGUGUGGUCUAGUGGUUUGAGCAUCAGACUACAACUCUGGUGACCAGAGUUCGAAUCCCUGUUGGAGCA